rnacentral:rRNA from 1 species
UACAGAGGUGGCAAGCGUUGUUCGGAAUUACUGGGCGUAAAGGGCGCGUAGGCGGCCUUCUAAGUCAGACGUGAAAUCCCCGGGCUUAACCUGGGAAUGGCGUUUGAAACUACGGAGCUGGAGUGUGGCAGAGGGAGGUAGAAUUCCACGUGUAGCGGUGAAAUGCGUAGAUAUGUGGAGGAAUACCGAUGGCGAAGGCAGCCUCCUGGGCCAACACUGACGCUCAUGCACGAAAGCGUGGGGAGCAAACAGG